rnacentral:lncRNA from 1 species
CUGCCAUGCAAGAAAUGUGAAAAGUUCUUCGGAGAGAAGGAAAAUUAUAUAGGUCAGAAACUGAGACCUACAUAAGGAAAGAAGAGCAUUGGAUGAAGAAGAAAUAAAUAAAGAUGCAAUGGAUUAAGACUCUUGACUAGAAUAAUCUGAAGCAUUCUGCGUGAAUUUGUGACCAAAGAAACCAAAAAUCAGGCUACCUUUGACAAUGUCAAAUUACAGUGAACUGUGGAGUCGAUUAUACCUCUCAUAUUUCUUUAUUAUGUUAAAUGCUUAAUUAUUUGCUUGAUUCUGUCUUUGUCAUAGUCCUUUAUUACAAUGACGUCUUAUUUAAGUAAAAGAAUUCCAAAUACAUAGAAAACAAAAGCAUUUGUUUUAUUUCAAAAUAAUGAAGAAACAUAAUAGGUUAUACAACUUUUCAAGAGACCAUUAUGCUGUUAAAUCAUUUAUAUAUCUUCUCUUUAUUUGGACUCAGAAAAUAUGGACAUUAUAAUGCAAAAAGUUACUGAAAAAUCAAUGUCAGCAUCAUCUGAACUCUUUUCCCCUAAUCUAAUCUAGGCAUUUGGAUUACCCAUUUCUAAGCACAUCAGUGGUUUUUGAAUGUCAGUAGCACCCUGCUUAAUCAAUAAGCCUUUAUUUGGCUCAAUGAACUGCUGAUACGUACUUUUACAUAUUCAAAAUCUGUCCCUCAGUAUGGAUACUAACUAGAUCUUUUUUGAAUGAGAAGGUCAGGUCAGGCUCCCCCUUGGCAAUGAUACCAGCUCCCUCAGAUUCUCAUUAAUGGAACCAUGUGCUCACUGAACAAAGAAUGCUUACAGAAAAAAAAAAGAAUAUUGACGUCAGUGUAUAUUAUAUUCCUUAAAAAUAUUUAUAAACGAGCAUUCGUUAUAGAAGCAAGGAACAUGACAGCUUAUUGAUUAUGCAAAUAUGUUCCUUGUACGCUUUUAAAAUAAAUCAAUUAGUGCAAGAGUUGGCAAAGUCUUCCUUAAAGGGCAAGAUUAUUAAAAUAUUAGGCUUUGCUGGCCAUUUGGUCUGUCACAACUAAUUAACUCUGCUGUCGUAAUGGGAAAACAGCCACAGACAAUAUGUGAAAUAAUGGAUGUGGCUGUAUUUCAAUAAAACUUUGUUUAGAGAAACAGGUGGUGGGACAGUGUGUUGAUCCCUGAACUAAUGGGAUAAAAUAUAACUUAAAUAUAAUAUGCAUGUAUGUACAUAUGUUUCUGUUUACAAAAUAGAAUUGAGUGUCUCUUUCAGCUAAUUGAGCACCAUAAUGUAAACCUACAAGAGGUACGAGAGAAUUUCGUAUAUGUAUUUGAAGUCUUGACACUGCUAAAUCUUUUGUUUGUAAUUGGCAUGCCAUGUUGGAAGACAUAAUAGAGAAACUGUCUAUCCAUGCGUCCUUUACUUAAGAAAACUAAACUCUUCUCUGAAGUUAUGUGGUAUAGAUUUUUCCUAAAGGAAGCCAACCAGUUGAAAGAUCAAGCUAUGCAUUAACUCAUCACACUUUAAAUAAGUAAAUAAAUAAAUAACUCACCUAGUUCAUUGUUUGGAUGGUUUAUUGGAUGUGAGAUACUUCAUACUGUCCUGACACAGAGUUUAUUACCUAUGUAAGAGAAGGCACAUAUGGUUAGGUUUCAAGAGAUAUUCUAAUUGUUUCCUGUGGUGAUGUUUGAACUCUACAGUCAAAUUCAGAUGCAUUUAAUUUGGUAAGGUAGACAAUUGGUUAAAUGUUUGGUGUCAAAGUAAGAAAUACAUAGUGAAUUGAUGGAGAGGAAUGUUCUUAAAGUGGUCUAUACAGAUUGACCCUAAAAUCAACCUCACCUUUAUAUCAACCUCGUCUUUGAAAAGAUUGCAGCCCCAAGGACUUUGAUUAUUUUUCUUCAUGACCUCUCUGGGUACCUGAUAAUAGGAAUAGACACACGAAAAAAAACCUGAUAAUGUUACUCUGGUGUAAUCACAACUACUUCUGCUCUAUUAAAACUACCAUGCGAUAUGACCACUUUUACAGUCAUUUGUUAACUUUCUCUUUUAUCAUCAAAGUUGUACUGCACAUACUCAAAACUGACAGCUACAAUAGAGUGGCCCAUAUAUUCUCUGAGAUCAAGACAGAAACAUUACUCAUCAAAUUCUAAUCUAGUGUCACAUAGGAGAAAUACAACUAGCCAGUGAGACUCUCACUGCUAUCUGGCUCACAGAAACAGAUAGAGCAACUUCUCAUCUAUUAUUGAAGCAUUGCAGAAAUUGUGGUGCAGUGUAUGUGCCUACACUAUAAAGUAGCUAGGCUUGCACUUUUUAUGUGUGUUUGGCCAUAUAAUUCAUCUGGGCCUAGUAUCAACUCAGGACAUGGAUAUACUUUUUAAAGUAAUUGAGUAAUGUAUAUCUUUAAAAGCAAUCUCGUUAGAGCUUUAGGACAUUUCUAACAAAGCAAUGAAAUGUAGAGAUCUUAAUACAUUUCUAUGACUAUGAAUGUAAAUAAUAUAUGUUAUUUAAUAUUUUUCACAUGAAAAGAAAAUACUAACCCAGAAUGAAAAUGUAUCAAUAAUCCUGAGUAAAUUAAUCUAACAACAAUGAAUGUUUUGUGGUGCAUAUUUGGCAAAGCCUUCAAAUUUGUCAGACCUUUACAAAUCAUUUUCUUAUGUAGAGUCAUUGCUGUGUUUUGUAAUAAAUUUUGAAAACUGGCUUUAUGGAAUAAAAUAAAAAGCAAAUUUAUUAACUUUUUUGUAAAAGCUUUUCAAUGGUUUCACUAACUAUUUAAAAACAAAAAUAAAUAACCUUUGAGAUUGCUAUAUCAUUGAGAUUAUUUUAAAAGUCUCUUGAAAGUACUUAUACCUUAUUUGGUAUUAUAAAGAGGUUUCUAUAAAAAGUUACUUGUAUUUUGUGUCCCAAAUAAUUCAACAACAUAUUUAUUCAUUCUGCAAACAAACGAUAGCUGUUCCCUAAAGCAAUAUUUAUUAGAAAACUUAGGAAACCUGAGCAAAAUAUUGACUGAAGACAAACACAUUUAUAAUCAAUUAAAGAUAAAAAAGUUAACUUUUUACAAGAUGGACUAAAGAUUUAAAUGUAAGACCUCAAACUAUAAAAAUCUGAGAAGAAAACUGAGUAAAUACCCUUCUCGGUGUGAGCUUUGGCAAAAAAAAAAAAAAAAAAAAUUAUGGCUAAGAACCCAAAAGCAAU